rnacentral:rRNA from 1 species
UACAGAGGGUGCGAGCGUUAAUCGGAAUUACUGGGCGUAAAGCGCGCGUAGGCGGCUUUGCAAGUCGGGUGUGAAAUCCCCAGGCUUAACCUGGGAACUGCAUUCGAGACUGCAUUGCUAGAGUAUGGGAGAGGGAAGUGGAAUUUCCGGUGUAGCGGUGAAAUGCGUAGAUAUCGGGAGGAACACCAGCGGCGAAGGCGGCUUUCUGGACCAAUACUGACGCUGAGACGCGAAAGCGUGGGGAGCAAACAGG